AACAAGGAUUUGUUGAACGGUGAAAACAAAUGACUGGUUAAUCUGACGGUUGAAAUUGGUUUGAUCUGAUCAGAAGAUGGAAAAGCCCAUUUUUACGCUGCUCUCUUCUUUUUUAGUACUCCGUAAAUUUGCAGUUUUAUUGUUUUCGUAUGUCCAAAA